GUUGUGCUGACGCUGUACUUCACCUCGGACGGCUACCUGGGCCUGGACCAGCAAUACAGCCUGCAUCUCAAGGUGCUGGAGGCGCCGCGUGCAAGCGACCGGCAGCAGCACCAGAAGGACCAGCAGGACCAUCAUGAAGGACCUUACUCUCCAACUGACCACAAGAAAUAUGAUCUUCCCGUCGCAGACGCCGUGGCAACGUCGGCCAUAUCCAGCACCUUCGGCCAGGAUUUCCCGCCCCUGAAACCUGGCGGGAGUUUUGACGAGGACCUGACGUGGUCGACGAACACGACCUCGAGCGUCGUGAGCGACUCGACGCCCUUCUCUUCCAGGGCCGCCACUGACCACGAGUCCUCCAAGAGCCCAGACCUGGACGACGGGUGCUGGGCCGCACCGCGCCCUACUUCUCUGGGGCCCAACAUCCCAGACCGUGACGGGGGUCUUAAGAAAUCGGGGAGCGGAGAAAAAAGAGGCAGCACUAACAACAGCCGGGCUGGCAGUCAAAGUAAUAAUAACAGCCGCGCUGGGAGUGUCAGCAGCAACAACAGCCGUGGCAGCAGGCACGGCCGAGGCGGCAAAAAGAACGAGAAGCGUCAGUAGGUCCUGCGAUGUUAUAGUUCAAUGAGAAAUGUUGAAUCUGGCAUGUGGAGUUUACUUUAUAAAUGAUUAUUAAUUACUUUUCUUGUGUCUAAAAAGAUGCACAAGGCACCAAUCAAACCAUCACCCUUUGGAUGACCCUCAAUGAUCCCAUUAAUAGCAGUUUCUCAUCGAUAAACACGAGUCAACCAUAUGUCGAGUCAACCGAGUCAUGGUUACCGAUAAACACGAGUCAACCAUAUGAGCUGACGCAUACGCUAGAUAUGCUAAGAAACUACGUGGAAUCUGGUUGAUUGUACACCAGCACCGCUCUCCUAUCAAUUCUUUUUCAUGUCGGGCCGAGCAAGCAGCUCUCAUUCAGCAAGCUUCUCAACCGAGCUAAGCACCACAUUUUUGUUUGCUUCUUAAUUACAUGAUUAUAAAACUUUUCUGCGUUCUCUUUUGAAUUGUUGACUUGUUAGUGGAUUGAAAUAGGACAUCUUUUCUGAGUGAUGGCUAUUUAUUCGGUGCUCCACGUACAGAUAAUAAUGACGCUAAUAAAGCUAGUCAACAGUG